UUAUUUUUAUAGCCUAAAGCAAAGAAGAAGACACAAAUAGAUGCUACAAAGAAUGAUACAAAGACUGAUCCAAAUGUUCUUGAUAGUCAAGAAUGCUUGACCCCAAGUUGCAGCAGCGCCAGUAGUCUUGGAUCAGGAUCAGUCUCCAAAGUGGAGUUCCUUGAAGCCAAGAUCCAAUGGCAAGAGAAAAUGAUUAAGGAACUUGAGCAAGAACGCAAUUUCUUACGUGAGCAAAUCAUGGGAGGGAA